AUUGAACGCUGGCGGCAGGCUUAACACAUGCAAGUCGAGCGAGCGGCGGACGGGUGAGUAAUGUUUGGGAAACUACCUGAUGGAGGGGGAUAACUACUGGAAACGGUAGCUAAUACCGCAUACCAUACGAUGUGCCCAGAUGGGAUUAGCUAGUAGGUGGGGUAAUGGCUCACCAAGGCGACGAUCCCUAGCUGGUCUGAGAGGAAGACCAGCCACACUGGAACUGAGACACGGUCCAGACUCCUACGGGAGGCAGCAGUGGGGAAUAUUGCGCAAUGGGCGCAAGCCUGAUGCAGCCAUGCCGCGUGAAUGAAGAAGGCCUUCGGGUUGUAAAGUGCUUUCAGCGGGGAGGCGUUACCCGCAGAAGAAGCACCGGCUAACUCCGUGCCAGCAGCCGCGGUAAUUC
rnacentral:rRNA from 1 species